rnacentral:rRNA from 1 species
AGAGCGGGAGCCCGGAGAUGGGCACUGAGAUAAGGGCCCAGGCCCUACGGGGCGCAGCAGUCGCGAAAACUCUGCAAUACGCGAAAGCGUGACAGGGUUACCCCGAGUGCCGUCCGCUGAGGACAGCUUUUCUUCGGUGUAAUGAGCCGAAGGUAAUAAGGGGAGGGCAAGACUGGUGUCAGCCGCCGCGGUAAUACCAGCUCCCCGAGUGGUGGGGGUGAUUAUUGGGCCUGAAGCGUCCGUAGCCGGCUCGGUAAGUCUUCCGUUAAAUCCAGCGACCUAAUCGCUGGGCUGCGGGAGAUACUAUCAGGCUAGGGGGCGGGAGAGGCCGACGGUAUUCUCGGGGUAGGGGUGAAAUCCUAUAAUCCUGAGAAGACCACCAGUGGCGAAGGCGGUCGGCU